rnacentral:lncRNA from 1 species
ACUUACCUGACCAAUUUGGUAGAUUAUAUCUUGAUUAGAUUGCUAAGUGAUUCGAGUUGACCCAUGCCAUUAAGAUUGAUCAAUGUGACUCAUCUAAGUGCCAUUUCAACCAACAUUACCCUAAUCCAAUUCAAUGACUUAGUAAAAUCUAUGAGAGGAUUAUGGUUUACUAGUUAAUCUCUUCUCUUCUCUUCUCUUAAUUCAUAAAUUAAAUCUUCUAAAUUAUUAGG